rnacentral:rRNA from 1 species
GAGGAAUAUUGGACAAUGGGUGAGAGCCUGAUCCAGCCAUCCCGCGUGAAGGACGACGGCCCUAUGGGUUGUAAACUUCUUUUGUAUAGGGAUAAACCUAUCUACGUGUAGAUAGCUGAAGGUACUAUACGAAUAAGCACCGGCUAACUCCGUGCCAGCAGCCGCGGUAAUACGGAGGGUGCAAGCGUUAUCCGGAUUUAUUGGGUUUAAAGGGUCCGUAGGCGGGCUCGUAAGUCAGUGGUGAAAUCUCAUAGCUUAACUAUGAAACUGCCAUUGAUACUGCGGGUCUUGAGUAAAGUAGAAGUGGCUGGAAUAAGUAGUGUAGCGGUGAAAUGCAUAGAUAUUACUUAGAACACCAAUUGCGAAGGCAGGUCACUAUGUUUUAACUGACGCUGAUGGACGAAAGCGUGGGGAGCGAAC